rnacentral:rRNA from 1 species
GAAUCUUUCUCAAUGGGCGCAAGCCUGAAGGAGCGACGCCGCGUGGGGGAUGAAGGGCUUCGGCCUGUAAACCCCUGUCAUUUGCGAACAAGGUCGGCCAUUUAAAAGAUAGCCGGAUUGAUGGUAGCGAAAGAGGAAGGGACGGCAAACUCUGUGCCAGCAGCCGCGGUAAUACAGAGGUCCCAAGCGUUGUUCGGAUUCACUGGGCGUAAAGGGUGCGUAGGUGGUGGGGUAAGUUGGAUGUGAAAGCUCCGAGCUUAACUCGGAAAUGGCAUUCAAAACUACCCCGCUAGAGGGUUGGAAGGGGGACUGGAAUUCUCGGUGUAGCAGUGAAAUGCGUAGAUAUCGAGAGGAACACCAGUGGCGAAGGCGAGUCCCUGGACAACUCCUGACACUGAGGCACGAAAGCUAGGGGAGCAAACAGG